rnacentral:rRNA from 1 species
UACGUAGGUGGCAAGCGUUGUCCGGAUUUACUGGGCGUAAAGCGCGUGUAGGCGGAUCGAUAAGUUGGGGGUGAAAGCCCAGAGCUCAACUCUGGAACUGCCUUCAAGACUGUCGGUCUGGACUCAAGGAGAGGCAAGUGGAAUGUCUAGUGUAGAGGUGAAAUUCGUAGAUAUCGGGAGGAACACCAGUGGCGAAGGCGGCGACCUGGGCCAAUACUGACGCUGAGGUGCGAAAGCGUGGGGAGCAAACAGG